CAUGUCGAGCGAGGUCAGCAAUAACCUAGCGGCGAAUGGGUGAGUAACACGUGCUUAAUCUACCUUUUAGAUUGGAAUACCCAUUGGAAACAAUGGCUAAUGCCGGAUACGCAUGGAACCGCAUGGUUCCGUUGUGAAAGGCGCUGUAAGGCGCCACUAAAAGAUGAGGGUGCGGAACAUUAGUUAGUUGGUGAGGUAAUGGCCCACCAAGACUAUGAUGUUUAGCCGGGUCGAGAGACUGAACGGCCACAUUGGGACUGAGAUACGGCCCAAACUCCUACGGGAGGCAGCAGUAGGGAAUAUUCCACAAUGAGCGAAAGCUUGAUGGAGCGACACAGCGUGCACGAUGAAGGUCUUCGGAUUGUAAAGUGCUGUUAUAAGGGAAGAACAUUUGCAAUAGGAAAUGAUUGCGGACUGACGGUACCUUGUCAGAAAGCGAUGGCUAACUAUGUGCCAGCAGCCGCGGUAAUACAUGGGUCGCAAGCGUUAUCCGGAAUUAUUGGGCGUAAAGCGUUCGUAGGCUGUUUGUUAAGUCUGGAGUUAAAUCCCGGGGCUCAACCCCGGCUCGCUUUGGAUACUAGCAAACUAGAGUUAGAUAGAGGUAAGCGGAAUUCCAUGUGAAGCGGUGAAAUGCGUAGAUAUAUGGAAGAACACCAAAGGCGAAGGCAGCUUACUGGGUCUAUACUGACGCUGAGGGACGAAAGCGU
rnacentral:rRNA from 1 species